rnacentral:rRNA from 1 species
AUUGAACGCUGGCGGCAGGCCUAACACAUGCAAGUCGAACGAGUGGCGGACGGGUGAGUAAUGUCUGGGAAACUGCCCGCUGGAGGGGGAUAACUACUGGAAAAGGUAGCUAAUACCGCCUACCAUCGGAUGUGCCCAGAUGGGAUUAGCUAGUAGGUGGGGUAAAGGCUCACCUAGGCGAAGAUCCCUAGCCUGUCUGAGAGGAUGAACAGCCAACCUGGAACUGAGACACGGUCCAGACUCCUACGGGAGGCAGCAGUGGGGAAUAUUGCACAAUUGGCGCAAGCCUGAUGCAGCCAUGCCGCGUGUAUGAAGAAGGCCGUCGGGUUGUAAAGUACUUUCAGCGGGGAGGCGUUACCCACAGAAGAAGCACCGGCUAACUCCGUGCCAGCCGCCGCGGUAAUAC